rnacentral:rRNA from 1 species
AUACAGAGGGUGCGAGCGUUAAUCGGAAUUACUGGGCGUAAAGCGCUCGUAGGCGGCUUGUAAAGUCGGAUGUGAAAGCCCCGGGCUCAACCUGGGAACUGCAUUCGAUACUGGCAGGCUAGAGUAUAGUAGAGGCAAGUGGAAUUCCGGGUGUAGCGGUGAAAUGCGUAGAUAUCCGGAGGAACAUCAGUGGCGAAGGCGACUUGCUGGACUAAUACUGACGCUAAGGAGCGAAAGCGUGGGGAGCAAACGGGAUUAGAAACCCCAGUAGUCC